AUCUUCAUCGCAUCGUCCUACACUACAGAUGGCUCGAUCGCUAACCAGGAGCAGAUCUGCGCCGCCGAUGGAGGGAAGCCGGCCCUGCUCACCUCGCCAGCGGCCGUCAACGCAGUUCUCGACCGGUUCAAGGGAUCCCUGGGUAAGUCAGGAGCCUGGGUGACCAUGAAGAGGAAGGAUGUCUGGAACGAGUACGUGUGGCCGGAUGGGACGGUCUACUCCAGCUCGGGCGUCGGCCUCCCUGUGUAUGGCACUGGCAGCUUCUUCCGGCUAUCAUCAGAAGAAUACUUUAAAGGUUUAUCAUCGCCAUCAAAUAACGAACAGGCAGUUAUUUGUAUGUUGUAGAUUUUUGUGUUCAAACACA